rnacentral:rRNA from 1 species
GAACGCUGGCGGCGUGCCUAAUACAUGCAAGUCGAGCGAACGGACGAGAAGCUUGCUUCUCUGAUGUUCGCGGCGGACGGGUGAGUAAUACGUGGAUAACCUACCUAUAAGACUGGGAUAACUUCGGGAAACCGGAGCUAAUACCGGAUAAUAUUUUGAACCGCAUGGUUCAAAAGUGAAAGACGGUCUUGCUGUCACUUAUAGAUGGAUCCGCGCUGCAUUAGCUAGUUGGUAAGGUAACGGCUUACCAAGGCAACGAUGCAUAGCCGACCUGAGAGGGUGAUCGGCCACACUGGAACUGAGACACGGUCCAGACUCCUACGGGAGGCAGCAGUAGGGAAUCUUCCGCAAUGGGCGAAAGCCUGACGGAGCAACGCCGCGUGAGUGAUGAAGGUCUUCGGAUCGUAAAACUCUGUUAUUAGGGAAGAACAUAUGUGUAAGUAACUGUGCACAUCUUGACGGUACCUAAUCAGAAAGCCACGGCUAACUACGUG